GCCAGUGUAGUAUAGUGGUUUGAAUACUAGACUAUGAUUCUGGAGACUGGGUUUAAAUCCCUGUCAGCCA